CGAAGGGAGUCGGACCCGUUCGGGGAACCGUGUAGAGGUGCUGCAUGGCUGUCGUCAGCUCGUGUCGUGAGAUGUUGGGUUAAGUCCCGCAACGAGCGCAACCCUUGCCAUUAGUUGUCAGCGAGUCAUGCCGGAUACUCUAAUGGGACUGCCGGUGACGAGCCGGAGGAAGGUGGGAUGACGUCAAGUCAGCAUGGCCUUUAUGUCCAGGGCCACACACGUGCUACAAUGGACGGUACAGAGGGACGCAAGACCGCAAGGUGGAGCAAAUCCUCAAAACCGUUCUCAGUUCGGAUUGUAGGCUGCAAUUCGCCUACAUGAAGCUGGAAUUGCUAGUAAUCGCAGAUCAGCUACGCUGCGGUGAAUACGUUCUCGGGCCUU
rnacentral:rRNA from 1 species